ensembl:lncRNA
UUACCCAGUGAGUCAUAGGAAACCAUUUACUUCCCCAUCUUUCCACUGACCUGCCUAAAGGAUGAUAAUUACCAAGCUGACCAAACACAGAACAAAGUUUGUUUCCAAUGAGGCAUACAUACAUUGAAAUGGAGCUAUGCACCCAGCAGAAGGAAGCUUGAAAUAGAAAUAUCCAGAAAAGAUGUGCUGCUGAGACUCCAUCUUUAGCCUCAUGCAUUAUGCCUUUGUUUUAAAAGAUACAGAAAUCUAAGCAAGGAACUGGAACAAUUUGCUCUGGGCUGGUGACAAAUCCUGUAGGCUGUGCCACGUCCGCACCGGGGAACUGAACCGGUGAACCCUGGGCCACCAAAGUGGAACAUGAGAACUUAACCACUGCGCCACCAGGCCGGCCCCAACCUGGGACCUUCUUAUCCUACUCAGGAUCCUCCCUAUGCAAGGCACCCAUUGUCUCCUGCGGCCUGGUGGAAAACAUCCACAGCAUAGGAUGGAUCAUGCUUACUCAACUCUGGCUGGGAUAAAAUGGUUUUAGCUGGGAUAAAGCCUCAUUGUUAACUUCAGAAUAGGUAGCAUCUCAAUUCUAGAAUGAAGCUAAAAUUCCUUUCUUUCUAUCGUCAGCCACUAUCCAGGUCACUUCUUCCAGAAGUCCCUGUCUGCCCCCUACCCACUUGACUUUGGUCCAAAGGUCCUCUAACUAGGCCACAGAAUAGGCUUUCUGAAGGCACUGCAAAAUAUGUGAGUCAUAAGGAGCCACUGCCAACGGCCUCUUCAGAGGGUGUCAAGAAAUUAUGAGCUGUUUCUUUUCUAUUUUUUAUCCAAUUAUUAAUAUUCCUGCCAGGACCCAGCAAUGCCUUCUUGCUUUUUCUCCCUUGGGUAAUCUCUUUCAUCUCCUUCUUUCCACUCUAUUUUUUCCUUCUGCUGUAUACCCUGAUCUAUUUAUUUCCUCCAUUGCCAUUCAGUGUCUGCUUUCCUUUGGGCAAUUGUCCUGAAUUAUUUAAUAGUUGUUCUAUUAUUUUUUCCUGUUCACUCCUUCCCCUUAUUUUCUUCUCUUUUUUGGUUUUUCUAGGUUUCCUUCUGCUCUAGUAUACAAUUCAUCCAGCAAUCCUUUUCUUUCUAAACCAUAAAUCAUGGUGGGCAAGAUUGUGUGCGGACACCAGGCAGGAGAGAUGUGGCACCAGGUGGGUGGGCAGGGGAGGAGCAUGCAUCAGUGACUUGCUUUUAGGAGGUAACAGAUUUGAUCAUUUUUCAGGAAACACAGCAGGCAGCCUGUAAUUAGCAAUGAAGAUUCAUCCUUCCAUCAUUUUUGCUGGACUGUGCAGAACUUGGGUUCACUGUGUCUGCAGUUUUCAAACUUUUCUACUGAGCCUUUCUCCUGGUAGCUCUGGGUCAAAAUAAAAGGAAACUAAUUUUAUC